rnacentral:rRNA from 1 species
AUUGAACGCUGGCGGCAGGCCUAACACAUGCAAGUCGAACGAGUGGCGGACGGGUGAGUAAUGUCUGGGAAACUGACUGAUGGAGGGGGAUAACUACUGGAAACUGUAGCUAAUACCGCAUACCAUCAGAUGGGCCCAAGUGGGAUUAGCGUGUUGGUGGGGUAAAGGCUCACCAAGACGACGAUCCCUAGCUGGUCUGAGAGGAUGACCAGCCACACGGGAACUGAGACACGGUCCAGACUCCUACGGGAGGCAGCAGUGGGGAAUAUUGCACAAUGGGCGCAAGCCUGAUGCAGCCAUGCCGCGUGUAUGAAGAAGGCCUUCGGGUUGUAAAGUACUUUCAGCUGGGAGGCGUUACCCACAGAAGAAGCACCGGCUAACUCCGUGCCAGCAGCCGCGGUAAUUC